rnacentral:rRNA from 1 species
GUGGGGAAUAUUGCGCAAUGGGGGAAACCCUGACGCAGCAACGCCGCGUGAGCGAAGAAGGCCUUCGGGUCGUAAAGCUCUGUCUUUUGGGACGAUAAUGACGGUACCAAAGGAGGAAGCCACGGCUAACUACGUGCCAGCAGCCGCGGUAAUACGUAGGUGGCGAGCGUUGUCCGGAAUUACUGGGCGUAAAGGGUGCGUAGGCGGAUAUUUAAGUCAGAUGUGAAAUUCCCGGGCUUAACCUGGGAACUGCAUUUGAAACUGGGUAUCUAGAGUGCAGGAGAGGAAAGCGGAAUUCCUAGUGUAGCGGUGAAAUGCGUAGAUAUUAGGAAGAACACCAGUGGCGAAGGCGGCUUUCUGGACUGUAACUGACGCUGAGGCACGAAAGCGUGGGGAGCAAACAGG